rnacentral:sRNA from 1 species
AGACAGCUGGGCCUGGGAAUCCCACCAAGAUGCGGAGACCAGUAGUGGCCCCAAAUGCCAGGCUGCACUGAUAUUUAUUGGAUACAAGACAAAGGGGCAGGAUAAGGAGUGUGAACCAUCUCCAAUGAUAGCUGAAACAGAACCGCAUGAGGGAAAGAGGAAAGUGGAAUCUCUGUGGCCCAUCUUCAGGAUCCACCACCAGAAAACCCGCUACAUCUUCGACCUCUUUUACAAGCGGAAAGCCAUCAGCAGAGAACUCUAUGAAUAUUGUAUUAAAGAAGGCUAUGCAGACAAAAACCUGAUUGCAAAAUGGAAAAAGCAAGGAUAUGAGAACUUGUGCUGCCUGCGGUGCAUUCAGACACGGGACACCAACUUCGGGACGAACUGCAUCUGCCGCGUGCCCAAAAGCAAGCUGGAAGUGGGCCGCAUCAUCGAGUGCACACACUGUGGCUGUCGUGGCUGCUCUGGCUGAGGCUGGCGCGCUCCACCCUGGACUCUGGACUUCGCAGGUUCCUGCCUGUCACGCCACCCCCUUCCUGGGAGCAGCGAGCAGUGCCCCAGGCCCGAGUUGGAGCACGGUCUCUAUGGGGAAGGCUUCGCUGUCUAUC